GCGCCCGUAGCUCAGCAGGAUAGAGCACCAGAUUCCUAAUCUGGGGGUCAGAGGUUCGAAUCCUCUCGGGCGCACCA
rnacentral:tRNA from 1 species